GAGGGGCAAGGUAUUGCACUAGUGCAGAAAAAGAAACAGGCGCCGAAAAAUGAGAAAAAUAAAAUAUAUGAUAUGUAUGGACCUGAAUAGUGAGUGUAUUGGCCACACACUUGACUGGAGUAUUCAGGAGAUUAGUGAGCUGCAUGAUGAGCAGCCAGCAUAUAAGUAUGCUAAAAGAAGGAAGCCCCAUGAAUGAAAAUUGAGCAAAGACUCAGAGAAAAAAGGCAUAAUGUGAGAUGCCGCCCCUGUUAGAGGUACAGGUGGAAAAUGUGUUAUAUUGUGUUGAAGAUGGGCAUAAUGUGAGAUGCCGCCCCUGUUAGAGGUACAGGUGGAAAAUGUGUUAUAUUGUGUUGAAGAUGGGCAUAAUGUGAGAUGCCGCCCCUGUUAGAGGUACAGGUGGAAAAUGUGUUAUAUUGUGUUGAAGAUGGGCAUAAUGUGAGAUGCCGCCCCUGUUAGAGGUACAGGUGGAAAAUGUGUUAUAUUGUGUUGAAGAUGGGCAUAAUGUGAGAUGCCGCCCCUGUCAGAGUUACAGGUGGAAAUAAAUGAUGUGUUUUAGUGAGUCCGUACGGAGAAGCCACUAAGGUGGUGAUUCUACCCCCCAAGUAUUUCCAAGGCGAUAACUCUGGCUCAUUCGUCGCCACUGCAGGGCACGGAGGAACCAAAGUUACGUUAUGUCGGUGUAGAAAGUUCGCUUUCUGGCCUGGAAUGAAACGGGAUGUAGAAAAUUAUGUAAGGAAGUGCGUCAUGGUAGUCGUUUUAAAAGUGAGUUGGGAACUUGCACCCUGCUCCUUGGCGGCAAUAUCCAGACGUCACCGCUCCUUUUGGAAGAAUACACAUGGACCUUGUGGGUCCCAUGGGUGUAUCGGACAAUGGGGUUCGAUACGUAAUGCCCAUGGUUGAUGUUUUUAAAAGGUAUUUGAUUAUAGUACCCUUACGGAGUAAGGAAGCCCGCGAAAUGGCAAGGGCGUUGUACGUGGAUGUUGUUUGUGUACACGGUGUUCCUCAGACAGUUGUUACAGGUCAAGGUUCAGAGUUCGUUAAUUCCGUGAUGCAGGAGAUAAAUUAGAAGCUACCUGUGCGACACGCGAAUAACGGCUUACCGUACAAAUGGGAAUGGAAUAAUAAAGCGCGCAAAUUAUACUGUUGUUAACAUUUUGAGGAGAAUGUUCUAGGAAAUGUGUCCGUUUGGGAUAUAAUGCUACUUAUAGACAUCUUGGCCUAUAAUGCUGCGUAUUAUCGCACCAUAAAGGAGUCCCCAUUUUAUCGAGAGAGACAGAGAGAGAAUUUUUAGAGAUCCUCCUGUACCCUACACUAUGUUAGAAAAAAUUCAGCAGCCCUGGUAGGAUAUUUACUCCUAUAAAGAGGAAAUGACUGCAAUUGCAAGGA